GACGAACGCUGGCGGCGUGCCUAAUACAUGCAAGUCGAGCGCAGGAAGCCGACGGAACCCUUCGGGGGGAAGUCGACGGAAUGAGCGGCGGACGGGUGAGUAACACGUAAAGAACCUGCCCUCAGGUCUGGGAUAACCACGAGAAAUCGGGGCUAAUACCGGAUGGGUCAUCGGACCGCAUGGGCCGAGGAUGCAAGGCGCUCCGGCGUCGCCUGGGGAUGGCUUUGCGGUGCAUUAGCUAGUUGGUGGGGUAAUGGCCCACCAAGGCGACGAUGCAUAGCCGACCUGAGAGGGUGAUCGGCCACACUGGGACUGAGACACGGCCCAGACUCCUACGGGAGGCAGCAGUAGGGAAUCUUCCACAAUGGACGAAAGUCUGAUGGAGCAGCGCCGCGUGAACGAUGAAGGCCUUCGGGUCGUAAAGUUCUGUUGUAAGGGAAGAACAAGUGCCGCAGGCAAUGGCGGCACCUUGACGGUACCUUGCGAGAAAGCCACGGCUAACUACGUGCCAGCAGCCGCAGUAACAC
rnacentral:rRNA from 1 species